rnacentral:rRNA from 1 species
UACGUAGGGGGCAAGCGUUGUCCGGAUUUAUUGGGCGUAAAGGGCUCGUAGGCGGUUUGUCGCGUCGGGAGUGAAAUCCACUGGCUUAACUGGUGGCUUGCUUUCGAUACGGGCAGACUGGAGGUAUGCAGGGGAGAACGGAAUUCCUGGUGUAGCGGUGAAAUGCGCAGAUAUCAGGAGGAACACCGGUGGCGAAGGCGGAUCUCUGGGCCAUAACUGACGCUGAUGCACGAAAGCUAGGGGAGCAAACAGG